rnacentral:pre_miRNA from 1 species
UUUGUACUCCCUCCGUCCCAAAAUUCUUGUCUCAAAUUUGUCUAAAUACGGAUGUAUCUAGUUACAUUUUAGUGUUAGAUACAUCCGUAUCUAAACAAAUGUAAGACAAGAAUUUUGGGACGGAGGGAAUACUAC